AACUUUCGGCAACGGAUCUCUUGGUGCUGGCAUCGAUGAAGAACGCAGCGAAAUGCGAUAAGUAAUGUGAAUUGCAGAAUUCAGUGAAUCAUCGAAUCUUUGAACGCACAUUGCGCCCCUUGGUAUUCCGAGGGGCAUGCCUGUUCGAGCGUCAUUACAACCCUCAAGCACUGCUUGGUCUUGGGCUCCGCUGCUAACCCGGCGGGCCUUAAAAUGAGUGGCGGCGCCAUCGGGCUCUGAGCGUAGUAAAUUUCCUCGCUACGGAGUCCUGGUGACGGUGGCCAUCAACCCCCAACUUUCUACGUUUGACCUCGGAUCAGGUAGGGAUACCCGCUGAACUUAAGCAUAUCAAUAAGCGGAGGCU
rnacentral:misc_RNA from 1 species